AAUGCGCAUGCGCGAGGCGCGAGCGGUUUCUCCCGUCACAGUGGUUCCCACGGUUGUCUUAGAAACCAGACCCCGAGGCUUGGCAGAGCAGGAGCCCUCGGUGGCAGUGCUUGGGUGUCGAGGCUCUGAGGCUCCGGCCUCACCUCUCCACGGGGUCGAAGGGAACGUCUCCGGAUGCCAGGAGUCGCAAAGGGCCGACCAUGAUGAUGAAACCCCAGGCAGAGACGGGGGAAGCAGCACGGGAUCCCAGCCUCAGGCCUGCACGGACGGUGUUGGUUGGGAGACGAGGUCUCACUAUAUUGACCAGGCUGGUCUUGAACUCCUGGCCUUAAGCGAUCCUCCUGCCUUGGCCUCCCAAAGUGCUGGAGUUACAGAUGUGAGCCUCUGUGCUCAGUCCAUCCUUGGCUGUUCAAGUGUAGAGGGACACGGCUUCCCCUGAACGCGGAUCCUAGAGGCCAGGCAGAAGCAGCAUGGGUUUCCACUCACACGGUAGGCGGCUGUGCAAUUUCGUCUGGAGUCCCCAGACCCCUCCUCAUCCUUCCCAGGGUUGCUCUGAGGCCAUUCCUUGUCAUCUAGGAGGGGUCUACAUAAAAGCAUUUAUAAACACCUCCAAAUGGGAGCCAGGCGUGCCCACCUUUGGAGCACUUUUCUCUACUGCAAAUUUAUCUACUGCUCGUGAAAUCUCUGGAUUUAACUCUGAUGAAAGACUGGAGGCUGAAGGAGAACUUCAAUAUCAUAUAUUUUAAAGGUUGAUUCACAGUUUGGAGCAAGAAUUAAAGAACCACGAACUUCAAGGUAAAACGGGCAACGGCGUUGGGGCAAGCCUCUCUGCAUCUGCGUGUCCAGCCUCUCCUGCGUGCCAGAAGUUCCCAGGCAGGAGUGUGGUGGGACAUCCGGCUGGGGUAAGGACAGGCACCCUCCCACUGUGUCAGGGCCCAGAGAGUGGGUGGAGAAGCUCUGCAAGAGACCUGUGCAAGGGCGCCUUGCAGGAGCCUGCAGUCCCCACAGGUGUGUUUGUGGAUAACACUUGGGGAGCCCUGGCCUUUUGGGGUCACGGAGGGCUUGGCCUCUCACCUCAGAGCUGCAGAGAAGCCGCUUCUACAUCAGGACAUCAGAAGCUGGAACAGGAUGGCCGGCGAGGGGCCUCUUGUUGGGGUCACAGAGAUGGGUCGCAGAGAUGGCCCGUGUGGAAGGUUGGAUUCUCACCCCACCUCUGCCCCUAGAUGUCCUGGUGACCCUCCCCUCUGUAGUCUUGGUUUUUUGCAAAACAGUUAUGACCUCCUGCCAUACUGGGUACUUUGCUUAUGUAUUGUGUUUACUCUUUACUGUGUGUCUCUCCUGCUAAGGUCUACGAAGAAGGGUCUUUGUGGGUGGGGUUCUUAGAGGCAUCCCAAGUACCAGAAGCAGUCCCUGGACUAAGGGGCUCAAUAAAUAUUUUUUAUUUAUUAUUUUUUCUUUUUGAGAUGGAGUCUCGCUCUCUUGACCAGGCUGGAGUACAGUGGCACAAUCUUGGCUCACUGCAGCCUUCGCCUCCUGGGUUCAAGUGAUUUCCGGCUAAUUUUUGUAUUUUUAGUAGUGACGGGGUAUCACCAUGUUGGCCAGGCUGGUCACAAACUCCUGACCUCAAGUGAUCCACCCGCCUCAGCCUCCCAACAUGCUGGGAUUAUAGACAUGAGCCACCAUGCCUGGCCAAAUAUUUGUCAAAUUGAAUUUGUAUUUCCAUACAAAUUUUAGUCUGGAUAAAGUGCUUCAUGCCUGUAAUCCAAGCACUUUGAGAGGCUGAGGCGGGUGGAUGGCUUGAGCCCAGGAGUUUGAGACCAGCAUGGAAAACAUAGAGAAACCCCAUCUCAAUAUAAGAAGAAGAAGAAAAAGAAAAAAAAAAUCAAAAACGAAAACAACACAAAUUUUAGAGUAAGUAUUUUAAGUUCCACAAAAACCUGGUUAGGAUUUGGAUAGCAAUUUCUUUAGUUCUACAAAUCAAUUUGGAAAAAAUUAAUUAAUUUGGGAAGAAUUCAUUUUGAGUCUUCUAAUCCAUGAACAUGGUAUCUCCAUUUGUUUAGACCAUCUUUAAUGCCUACUAAUAACAUUUCUGUAUAGUGACCUUGCACAUUAUUCUUAGAUUCUUGAUAUUUUGUGCUAUUAUGUCUUUUUAUAAAUUUUAUUUUUCCAACAUUGUUGCUAAUAUAUAGUAAGAAAAUGGAAUCUUGCCUAUAGAUUUUGAACCCAACAACUUUGCUAAACUCCUCUGAAUCCUCAGAAUUUCCCUGUGGAUUAUGUAGGCUCUUCUGCAUACACAACCAUAUCAUCUGUGAAUAAAG
ensembl:lncRNA FAM27C family with sequence similarity 27 member C